GUUGUUUUCUAAAACUAGAUUACAAGUCCUGAUAAAAAUUCACUAUAUAUUUUCUGCAGACUUAUGAUGGGCCAAUAUGAUGAUGAAAAAUGACUCUAAAAUGCAUUAUUUAUUGCUUUUGUGAGUCUGAACGCUAACUGUGGGGUGUGGACAUCAUCAAUGUUGUUAAGGUAUUUGUGAAGGUGUUGACUGGCACUAGAUUAUGAUAAAGCAACUAGUCAUUCAUGUAUAUUUUUAGCCUAGUUGAGUGAGAAAAUUUCAGAAUAGGUAUACAGUAUGAACUCUAAUGCAUAAAGUUCACAGCUUACUGAAUUUUUUGAAGGUAUAUCUUUACUUUUUCUGAUGGGGGUGUGGAAAGAG
rnacentral:misc_RNA from 1 species